GGGGCAUGCGAGGGCUGUCGCUGACUCAAAGUCGUGCACGCCCGAGUGUGUCGCCUCACAUAAUAAUCCAUCUCACCCUUUGUGCAUCACCGCGUGAUCAUCUCGGAGGGGGCUCGCGUUUUCACACAAAACCCCCCUUUUAAAAGUGUAGAAUGACCUCAUUUAUGCGCUAACCCGCAAUCAAUACAACUUUCAACAACGGAUCUCUUGGCUCUCGCAUCGAUGAAGAACGCAGCGAAAUGCGAUACGUAAUGUGAAUUGCAGAAUUCAGUGAAUCAUCGAAUCUUUGAACGCACCUUGCGCCCCCUGGUAUUCCGAGGGGCACACCCGUUUGAGUGUCGUGAAAACCUCAACCUCCUUGGUUUCUUCUGGAGACCAAAGCAGGCUUGGACUUUGGAGGCCUUUGCUGGCACCUCUCGCCAGCUCCUCUUAAGUGAAUUAGCAGGGUCCUCUUUGCUGAUCCUCGACGUGUGAUAAGAUGUUUCCAUGUCUUGGNUUCUGGCUCUGUCACCUUUGGGANCCGCUUCUAACCGUCUUCAACCUUGCGUUGAGACAACGUUCGAGCAUGUCUCCCUUCUCGGGAAGCUCCCUCGACCCCACGAACCCUUGA
rnacentral:rRNA from 1 species